AACGCUAGCUACAGGCUUAACACAUGCAAGUCGAGGGGUAACAAGAGAAAAGCUUGCUUUUCUUGUUGACGACCGGCGCACGGGUGAGUAACGCGUAUCCAACCUGCCUAUAACUAGGGAAUAACCUUGCGAAAGUAAGACUAAUACCCUAUGAUUUCCUUUGAUGACAUCAGAUUAGGAAUAAAGAUUUAUCGGUUAUAGAUGGGGAUGCGUCUGAUUAGCUUGUUGGCGGGGUAACGGCCCACCAAGGCAACGAUCAGUAGGGGUUCUGAGAGGAAGGUCCCCCACAUUGGAACUGAGACACGGUCCAAACUCCUACGGGAGGCAGCAGUGAGGAAUAUUGGUCAAUGGACGAGAGUCUGAACCAGCCAAGUAGCGUGCAGGAUGACGGCCCUAUGGGUUGUAAACUGCUUUUAUAAGGGAAUAAAGUUAGUCUCGUGAGACUUUUUGCAUGUACCUUAUGAAUAAGGACCGGCUAAUUCCGUGCCAGCAGCCGCGGUAAUACGGAAGGUCCGGGCGUUAUCCGGAUUUAUUGGGUUUAAAGGGAGCGUAGGCCGGAGAUUAAGCGUGUUGUGAAAUGUAGACGCUCAACGUCUGCACUGCAGCGCGAACUGGUUUCCUUGAGUACGCAUAAAGUGGGCGGAAUUCGUGGUGUAGCGGUGAAAUGCUUAGAUAUCACGAAGAACUCCGAUUG
rnacentral:rRNA from 1 species